CAAGGCGUAGCUAUGCGCUUUAGCGCUCAGCUUACACCUGAUGGAUAUCGUCACCUUGCCGUUCGCCUUCC